AUUGAACGCUAGCGGGAUGCUUUACACAUGCAAGUCGAACGGCAGCGCGGACUUCGGUCUGGCGGCGAGUGGCGAACGGGUGAGUAAUGUAUCGGAACGUGCCCAGUAGCGGGGGAUAACUACGCGAAAGCGUAGCUAAUACCGCAUACGCCCUACGGGGGAAAGCAGGGGGUCGUAAGACCUUGCACUAUUGGAGCGGCCGAUAUCGGAUUAGCUAGUUGGUGAGGUAACGGCUCACCAAGGCGACGAUCCGUAGCUGGUUUGAGAGGACGACCAGCCACACUGGGACUGAGACACGGCCCAGACUCCUACGGGAGGCAGCAGUGGGGAAUUUUGGACAAUGGGGGCAACCCUGAUCCAGCCAUCCCGCGUGUGCGAUGAAGGCCUUCGGGUUGUAAAGCACUUUUGGCAGGAAAGAAACGUCGCGGGCUAAUACCCCGUGGAACUGACGGUACCUGCAGAAUAAGCACCGGCCAACUACGUG
rnacentral:rRNA from 1 species